rnacentral:rRNA from 1 species
AACGAACGCUGGCGGCGUGCCUAACACAUGCAAGUCGAACGCGAAAGGGGGCAACCCCCGGUAGCGUGGCAGACGGGUGAGUAACACGUGGGUAACUUACCCCGAGGUGGGGAAUAACCUUCCGAAAGGAGGGCUAAUACCGCAUGACAUCCCGAGGGCUUCGGCCUUUGGGAUCAAAGCUGGCCUCUGUUUACAAGCUAGCGCCACGGGAGGGACCCGCGCCCCAUUAGCUAGUUGGUGAGGUAACGGCUCACCAAGGCGACGAUGGGUGGCCGGCCUGAGAGGGUGAUCGGCCACACUGGAACUGAGACACGGUCCAGACUCCUACGGGAGGCAGCAGUGAGGAAUAUUGCACAAUGGGCGAAAGCCUGACGCAGCGACGCCGCGUGGAGGAUGAAGGUCUUCGGAUUGUAAACUCCUGUCGAGCGGGAACGAAAGCGGUGAGUGUUAAUAGCGCUCGCCGUUGACGGUACCGCGU